rnacentral:rRNA from 1 species
CCUACGGGUGGCAGCAGUAGGGAAUAUUGCGCAAUGGGGGAAACCCUGAAGCAGCAACGCCGCGUGGAGGAUGAAGGUUUUCGGAUUGUAAACUCCUUUUGUUAGAGAAGAUAAUGACGGUAUCUAACGAAUAAGCACCGGCUAACUCCGUGCCAGCAGCCGCGGUAAUACGGAGGGUGCAAGCGUUAUCCGGAUUUAUUGGGUUUAAAGGGUGCGUGGGCGGAAAGUAAAGUCAGCGGGAAAAAUGCGGUGCUAAACGCCGUACAGCCGUUGAAACUGGCAGUCUUGAGUGGGCGAGAAGUAUGCGGAAUGCGUGGUGUAGCGGUGAAAUGCGUAGAUAUCACGCAGAACUCCGAUGGCGAAGGCAGCAUACCGGAGCCCUACUGACGCUGAGGCACGAAAGCGUGGGUAUCGAACAGGAUUAGAUACCCUUGUAGUC